rnacentral:rRNA from 1 species
GACGAACGCUGGCGGCGUGCUUAACACAUGCAAGUCGAACGGAACUGGUCUGCUUUUGUGGGGUGCUCGGGUGGCGAAGGGGAGAGUAACACAAGAGUAACCUGCCCUUGACUUUGGGUUAACUUCACGACACUGGGGCUAAUACAGGAUAGGAGCUUCUGCUGCACGGUGGGGGUUGGAAUGUUUCGGCGGUUGGGGAUGGACUCGCGGCUUAUCAGCUUGUUGGUGGGGUAGUGGCUUACCAAGGCUUUGAUGGGUAGCCGGCCUGACUGGGUGGCCGGCCAGAUUGGGACUGAGAGACGGCCCAGACUCGUACGGGAGGCAGCAGUGGGGAAUAUGGCACAAUGGGCGGAAGCCUGAUGCAUCAACGCCGCGUGCGGGAGAACGGCCUUCGGGUUGUAAACCGCUUUCGCCUGUUACGAAGCGUUAGUGACGGUAAUGGGUAAAGAAGCACCGGCUAACUACGUG